UUAUGGCGCGAGGCCGCGAGCUAAGUAAUAAUAAUAAAAAAAUUAUAAUAAUGUGCAAUUAUUGACGGUAUUUCUAUACUAUAUCGAAGCAGGAGAUGUCUAUUUAAAUUGUGUAAAAUUCAGACAAAUUUGUUAAACGACACAAUUAAUUUUCUAACAUAUCAAUUAACUCCAACUAAUCUACCAGUAAACUUCAAAACAUCAGAAAUAUUAUGUGUAUUUAUAAUGUGUUUUCGUAAAAAUCAUCAAAAUAAUUACGUUUAGAAAUUAAGUUAUAAAUGAAAAUGUGUGAACUUUUUAAUGGAAAUUUAUAUUAAAUUCAGAAUCAUAAAAAUCACAGCAUCCGUUUCUAGCGUCGUCGUUGCCAUAGAUAAUAAUAAUUAUUUAUUAUAAUUAUUAUUAUUUGCAUUGAUGAUAAAAAUGAAUGAUAUCGCAACAAAAACCCUUCGUAAACUACGUGUAAAAAUGGCUAAGUAAAAAAAAAAAUAGUAAGUAAUAGAGUUAUAGAAAUAGAAUAUUAUUGAUAGUUAAUUUGGUUUUUUUAUAAGAUAAAAGUGCAUAAAUUUACAUUUAUUAACAUUCAAAAAUAAAUAAUUCAUUCUACACCACGAAAGUAAGCUAUUAAUAAUAAUCAUUAACACAUGUUUUUUUUUAAUCUGGCCACAAAAUCAAGUAACUACGAAACGAUAAACAGCAUUUAUUAAUAUUGUAUAUUGGGUAUAAGUCCGGUCCGUUUUCUGAAACUGAUUAGUCUUGUUCGAACACUCAAGCCAUUAACAUCUACAAGAAAAUAAACGAAUAGUUACUACGACGAUCAGACCAGUGACAAGUACCGGCGCCUGUGGUAAUAUCGAUAGCUGAUGACCAGCUGCCACCACGCCGUUUCCACCGACGACGCAUUGUGGGUUGCCUACUUCACAUAAGUCGAACUGACAGCAUACACCCGGCGAACACCUCUCAGGAGA